GUGAAUUUGUAGCCUCCAAGGCUCACAUUCUCUACCCUUUACACACCUGUGCACCCUUCUGAAGCGGAGAGUUAUUAGGCGUUAGCCGAGCGCCUCCCUUCGGUUAUCAUAUCAACCUCAAACUACGUUUACUGGGAUGUAUACCGUCUUGUUGUAACGGCAAGCACAAUCCAAUA
rnacentral:misc_RNA from 1 species